GUGUUGGGUUAAGUCCCCGCAACGAGCGCAACCCCUGCCGUCUGUUGCCGACCACGAAAGGUGGGGACUCAGGCGGGACCGCCGGUGACAAACCGGAGGAAGGUGGGGACGGACGUCAAGUCAAUCAUGGCCCUUAUGUCCUGGGCCACACACGUGCUACAAUGGCCGGUACAGAGCGCAGCGAGGCCGCGAGGCGGAGCGAAUCGACUUAAAGCCGGUCCCAGUACGGAUUGGAGUCUGCAACCCGACUCCAUGAAGUUGGAAUCGCUAGUAAUCGCGCAUCAGCAUGGCGCGGUGAAUACGUUCCCGGGCCUU
rnacentral:rRNA from 1 species